UACAGAGGUCUCAAGCGUUGUUCGGAUUCAUUGGGCGUAAAGGGUGCGUAGGCGGCGCGGUAAGUCGGGUGUGAAAUCUCGGAGCUUAACUCCGAAACUGCAUUCGAUACUGGCGUGCUUGAGGACUGGAGAGGAGACUGGAAUUCAUGGUGUAGCAGUGAAAUGCGCAGAUAUCAGGAAGAACACCCGUGGCGAAGGCGGGUCUCUGGGCCGAUACUGACGCUGAGGAGCGAAAGCGGUGGGGAGCGAACAGG
rnacentral:rRNA from 1 species